rnacentral:rRNA from 1 species
UGGCGGCCGCGGAGAUUCGAUUUCCGUAGGUGAACCUGCGCCAAGGAUCAUUCGCACGUAUCCAAGCACGCACCUGUGAACUACUCUGCGUGAGUUUCUGCUCGUGGAUGGUGAAUAACACUCCUGCCCCGCGCUGAAACUCAAGGGUAGACGACGCAAGGAUCGGACCGUCUUCCUUUCCUGUUCCGUCUACCAGGUCAUCUGACCAAUUUUGACGAAAUGUCAUUUACUGCAUGGUCAUAUCUGUGCUUGUGCUCAUACAACUUUCAGCGACGGAUGUCUCGGCUCGAACAACGAUGAAGGGCGCAGCGAAGUGUGAUAAACAUUGUGAAUUGCAGAAUUCCGUGAACCAAUAGGUACUUGAACGUAUACUGCGCUUUCGGGAUAUCCCUGAAAGCAUGCCUGCUUCAGUGUCUACUCCUUUCUUAUUCCAGCGUUCGCUCCGACUGCUGUGAGUUUUUGCACGUCAAGGCGCUCUCGGGCUCGUGGCGUGUGGAAAGCAUCGAAUCCUUGUGCGACGACGAUUGCUUGAGUUUUAUUCUCUUCUCUUUGUCGGCGCGCGGGGCGUUCCUUCGUUCGCCGCGGUGGCGAUUCACCGAAGACAUGAAGUUAGGUCAGAGAACCCGCUGAAUUUAAGCAUAUCAAUAAGCGGAGGAA